GGGCGAAUGGUUUAGUGGUAUAAUACUCCCUUAGCAUGUUUCAUCAGAAUAAUCUGGGAGUGGUCCAGGGUUCGAUUCCCUGUUCGUCCA
rnacentral:tRNA from 1 species